GUACGAAUUCACCUUCGGGUGACAGGGAGACAGGUGGUGCAUGGUUGUCGUCAGCUCGUGUCGUGAGAUGUUGGGUUAAGUCCCGCAACGAGCGCAACCCCUACGUUUAGUUGCUAACGCGUGAAGGCGAGCACUCUAGACGAACUGCCGUUGACAAACGGAGAAGUGGGAUGACGUCAAAUCAUCAUGCCCCUUAUGUUCUGGGCUACACACGUGCUACAAUGGCCGGUACAGACGGACGCAAAGCCGCGAGGUGGAGCAAAUCCUAAAAAGCCGGUCUCAGUUCGGAUUGCAGGCUGCAAUUCGCCUGCAUGAAGUCGGAAUCGCUAGUAAUCGCAGGUCAGCAUACUGCGGUGAAUACGUUCCCGGGCCUU
rnacentral:rRNA from 1 species